rnacentral:rRNA from 1 species
ACACGACUACAUUAGAUACCCCUGUAGUCCCAGCCCUAAACGAUGCGCGUUAGGUGUAUCGGUGACCACGAGUCACCGAGGUGCCGAAGGGAAACCGUGAAACGUGCCGCCUGGGAAGUACGGUCGCAAGGCUGAAACUUAAAGGAAUUGGCGGGGAGCACCACAACGGGUGGAGCCUGCGGUUUAAUUGGACUCAACGCCGGGAAGCUCACCGGAUAAGACAGCGGAAUGAUUGCCGGGCUGAAGACCCUGCAUGACCAGCUG